rnacentral:sRNA from 1 species
GGGAGGUAAAUUUCUUCUAAAGCUAAAUACUGGCCAGAGACCGAUAGCGCACAAGUAGAGUGAUCGAAAGAUGAAAAGCACUUUGGAAAGAGAGUCAAACAGCACGUGAAAUUGUUGAAAGGGAAGCGCUUGCAGCCAGACUUGCCUGCGGUUGCUCAGCCGGGCCUCGUGCCCGGUGCACUCUUCCGCGGGCAGGCCAGCAUCAAUUUGGGCGGCUGGAGAAUGGCCUCUGUCACGUACUACCCUUCGGGGUAGCCUUAUAGGGGAGUCGUCAUGCAGUCAGCCUGGAUUGAGGACCGCGCUUCGGCGAGGAUGCUGGCGUAAUGGCCGCAAGCGGCCCGUCUUGAAACACGGAC